AAAGCAUUCUCUGGUGUUGAAGGCCCUGCAAAGCAGCAUCGCGGUGGCGGAGCGUCGUUUGCGACGCCCAACACACAAAACAAGCGGUGAGUGCUUUGGGGUGGGGUGACUGCGUACCUUUUGUAUAAUGGGUCAGCGACUUAUAUUCUGUAGCAAGGUUAACCGUAUAGGGGAGCCGUAGGGAAACCGAGUCUUAACCGGGCGUUAAGUUGCAGGGUAUAGACCCGAAACCCGGUGAUCUAGCCAUGGGCAGGUUGAAGGUUGGGUAACACUAACUGGAGGACCGAACCGACUAAUGUUGAAAAAUUAGCGGAUGACCUGUGGCUGGGGGUGAAAGGCCAAUCAAACCGGGAGAUAGCUGGUUCUCCCCGAAAGCUAUUUAGGUAGCGCCUCGUGAAUUCAUCUUCGGGGGUAGAGCACUGUUUCGGCUAGGGGGUCAUCCCGACUUACCAACCCGAUGCAAACUGCGAAUACCGGAGAAUGUUAUCACGGGAGACACACGGCGGGUGCUAACGUCCGUCGUGAAGAGGGAAACAACCCAGACCGCCAGCUAAGGUCCCAAAGUCAUGGUUAAGUGGGAAACGAUGUGGGAAGGCCCAGACAGCCAGGAUGUUGGCUUAGAAGCAGCCAUCAUUUAAAGAAAGCGUAAUAGCUCACUGGUCGAGUCGGCCUGCGCGGAAGAUGUAACGGGGCUAAACCAUGCACCGAAGCUGCGGCAGCGACACUGUGUGUUGUUGGGUAGGGGAGCGUUCUGUAAGCCUGCGAAGGUGGCCUGUGAGGGUUGCUGGAGGUAUCAGAAGUGCGAAUGCUGACAUAAGUAACGAUAAAGCGGGUGAAAAGCCCGCUCGCCGGAAGACCAAGGGUUCCUGUCCAACGUUAAUCGGGGCAGGGUGAGUCGACCCCUAAGGCGAGGCCGAAAGGCGUAGUCGAUGGGAAACAGGUUAAUAUUCCUGUACUUGGUGUUACUGCGAAGGGGGGACGGAGAAGGCUAUGUUGGCCGGGCGACGGUUGUCCCGGUUUAAGCGUGUAGGUGUGUGUUCCAGGUAAAUCCGGUUCACUUUAACACUGAGGCGUGA
rnacentral:rRNA from 1 species